AACGUUUCGAAAGGAACGCUAAUACCGCAUACGUCCUACGGAGAAAGCAGGGACCUUCGGGCCUUGCGCUAUCAGAUGAGCCUAGGUCGGAUUAGCUAGUUGGUGAGGUAAUGGCUCACCAAGGCGACGAUCCGUAACUGGUCUGAGAGGAUGAUCAGUCACACUGGAACUGAGACACGGUCCAGACUCCUACGGGAGGCAGCAGGC
rnacentral:rRNA from 1 species